UCAAACUUGACUUAGUCGGUGGUAGGCAAAGAAACCAAUUUACCCUCUCUGUUCCUGUAACCCGUGCUGACUGCACAUGCCCUGACUGGAGGCUGGUUUUGGUUUCCAAGAGGGAGUCAGCCUAUGGUGGAUGCCGAAGAGAUGGACAUAAAGACUGCUUUACUACAACUAGAUGAGAAAAUCUGUCUGCUGUCAAUAGCCCGCUGUAAGGCUGAGAGUGACAAAUCAAGGAAAACUGGAAAGACAAAACAAGAAUAUUGACACAAGUCAACCAUCUUGAACACAAAGACCAUUACAUUUCUUGUAUUUUAUUGUCCUGGCAGA